CCUACGGGAGGCAGCAGUGGGGAAUAUUGGGCAAUGGGCGCAAGCCUGACCCAGCAACGCCGCGUGAAGGAAGGAGGCUUUCGGGUUGUAAACUUCUUUUAAGAGGGAAGAGCAGAAGACGGUACCUCUUGAAUAAGCCACGGCUAACUACGUGCCAGCAGCCGCGGUAAUACGUAGGUGGCAAGCGUUGUCCGGAUUUACUGGGUGUAAAGGGCGUGCAGCCGGGAAGACAAGUCAGAUGUGAAAGCCCGCGGCUCAACCGAGGAACUGCAUUUGAAACUGUUUGUCUUGAGUACCGGAGAGGUCAUCGGAAUUCCUUGUGUAGCGGUGAAAUGCGUAGAUAUAAGGAAGAACACCAGUGGCGAAGGCGGAUGACUGGACGGCAACUGACGGUGAGGCGCGAAAGCGUGGGGAGCAAACAGGAUUAGAUACCCGGGUAGUC
rnacentral:rRNA from 1 species